ACCCCGUGGAGCACGCCGAUAUGGCUGCGCUGACACUGAGGGGUGUCCGGGAGCUGCUGAAGCGUGUGGACCUCGCGACGGUCCCGCGGAGACAUCGAUAUAAGAAGAAAUGGCCCGGUCGCCCUCACCCCUCGGAAAAUACCAUAGCGACCUUGCCUGCACUCCUGGGUCUCCGCCGCCUUGCAGGAAAGGAUUCAGCCCCUUCCUCAACCUCGAGCUGCCUCUGGCGACCGGGCAAGGUUACAGCGACCACCCUGUCCAUACUGCCGGCCCAAACCCUGGCAAAAGGUGCAACGAAUCCUCUCAUCCUCUGGACUCUCCUUGCUUCUCCAGAGACCCUUUUUCUUGCCUCACUGGAAGCCCUGGAAUUUCUUCUAUGACCGGCACGCCCCCCUGCCCACCCCAGCCGAUUCCCUCGCCACCUCCACCAUCUCUUCCACCCCCACAACCUUCCUCGCACUCAGGGAGAUGGUCUUUUGAGUCCUCUUCCCCACUCCUGGAAAGGACCUACUGCCGCUAGCCCUGCCACUCGGGUUCCCCACUCUCCAGCCCUUAUUUUGAGCAGUUCAGCAUUCCGGGGUCACCCCCUCUCUGUCAGCGGACACCUUAUUGCAGCUGGAUGAGUCCCUCCAGAAUGCGGCGUCCCUGUCUUCAAGGCACGUACUGUGACCAGCACACUAAUCUCUGUUACUCUAGCGGAUGGCCUUCAGCUUUUGGAACCAGCCCGGCAACCUCCUUUCCCCUUGCUCAUCAGUCCCCGGGAACGAGCCCAGUGACCUCCCCUCAGCUCACUCAUGUACCCUUGGAAACUGGACCCAUGAUUUCGCCUCCUCCUACACAUAGGACCCCGGGAACUUGCCUCACGAUUUCACCUCCUCUUGCUCGCCGGCCGGUGGAAACUAGUCCUAUGGCCUCCCCAACCCUUUCUCACAGAGUUUUGGAAACUGGGCUGAUGAUCUCUCUGCCCUCUCACUGGUUCUCAGGGAGAAGUUAUAAUGACCCCCUUCUCUCCCCAGCAUCUUCCCCACCUACUGGCAGCUUUUACCAUGGCAGCCUUAAGCCUCUAGACUCUUGUGAACCCAAACCACAGCUUGACCUGCCCCUUGAGAAAAAUUGUUGUGGCUUCCCACUCUCUUCUCAGGCAGGCAUGCCUGGCUCUCCCAGCUCACCUCAGGAGGGCUCUUAUCAUUACUCCCAUCUUUCCUCAGAGGCCUACAUACCUACCCCUGGGAGUCCUUGCUAUGCCAUCUGCCUGUGCCCCGGGAGUACUGAUUCUCCUUGCUCACCCCAGUCCCAGGCUCCCAGGAAGGCUUGCAUUGAGUCCCUUCUCUCCUGGGAGGCAACUGGGAACUCUUACCUCAUCCUAACCCCGGACACCACAACUUCUGGUCCCCCCUGUUCCCAGGAACCAUCUCGUCCCCAUGGUCCUCAUUCUGUCCUUUCCUUCCCUUCACCCCUGGGCAACCAGUUUAUAUCUCCACCCCAGUCACUUCCCCGCAGAAGCUAUAAUGAACCCCCUCUUCCCACUCCAGUUUCCCCCCAACCGAAGUCCCCUAAGUCCCCAGAGUUAAGACAGUCACAUACUCCCCACAAAUGUCUCUCCCUAGUCAACACUCCCCAGCACACCCCUUCUGGCCAGCCCAAGCCCGCUAAGGCCCACACCUGUCCCCCACCUCCCUCCUGCCUCUCUGGUCCUUCUUGUAUGCAGCCAUACAUCACAACUCCUUCAAAUUCCAGCCCCAAAGAACUUCCCCCAGGGACUACCUUACUGACUGUGGUCCCUAGAGCUCUCAAAAGUGUUAUCCCCACUUCUUUUCCCCUCUGCCUUCCUUGUGAUCCUGUCUCGGCCAAUAGUUAUGCUCAGAGCAGCCGCCAUGGACCCUCCAUAGGGCCCCCCUGCAAUACCCAUAUAUGCUCUGUGGUUCCCUCCACCCCCCAUCCCUGCCCACUGUCUGGCUCCCUCAAUCAUUCGACAGGCCCCCCUCCCAUUGUGCCCCUGUGUGACACCUAUAGCACUCCCAGGGGCCCACCCCAACCUCGUUGUCAGCCUGUGAUGCCUCCUUGUUCUACCCACAUCUAUUCUUUUAUCCCUUUGAGAACACCCUUUGAUCCUCAAAGUUUACCCAUUGUCCCCCGAGUCCGGGCCUACCCUGAUACUGUCCCCUGUGGCCUCCAUAUCUACCCUGUGGCCUCUCAAGGCCCUUGCAAAGAGCCUCUGCAGAUCCCCUACAGCUGCCCUUUGCCUUCAUCCAAGGAUUCCAGCUGUAGCACCAAUCCCAGCUGUAGUUCGACUAUUAUUAGCAAAUGCCAGAGUAGUGACAGCGAGAGCAGGAGUUCCCACCAAAGCCAAAGCCGGAGCCAAAGCAAGAGUCCCCAUGAUGGCAGAAGUCAGAGCUGGAGCAAGAGGCAUCAUCUGAGCAGAAGUCCAAGUCAGAAAAGCAGUCCCUAUCCUAGCAGAAGCUGGGGCCGGAGCAGUAAUCCUCAACAAAACACAAGUCAGGGCCAGAGUGAGAGUCCCCAACUUAGCAUAAAUGAGCACCAGGGUGAGAGUCCCCAAAUUAGCAGAGGUCAGGGCAAGAGCAAGAGUCUAUGAUGGCAAAAGUCGGAACCGGAGCAAGAGUCCCCAACAUGGCAAAGGUCAAGGCCAGAGCAAGAGUCCCCAACAUAGCAGGAGCCAGAGCAAGAGUCCCAGCGAGGCAAAAGUCACAGAGCAAGAGUCCUCACCAUAACAAGAAAUGAGGGCCAGAGCAAAAGUUCUGACCAGACCAAAAAUCUAGGCCAGAGCAAGGCAUAGAUAGUAACAAGAUUGCCAGCUAUAGCAAGCAUCCCAGCUGCAGCAACCAGGACCGACUUGUGCACUCCUCAUCUGAAGUCUUCAUUUCUCUUUUACUCUGCCUCCUUGUUCUUGUCCUCUUGUCCCCUGCUACCCCCAUAGCAGUCAUCCUAGAAGUCCCUGUUUUGGUUCACACCUCAAGAUUCUGUGGGCCCUCCUUAUCCAACCUUUCUGGGGUCUGGGAACUCUCCCAGCAUGACCCUCAAACCUCUGAUUCUAAGCAUGGUGGUGCUAGUCACUGUGUGACGCUAGGCUGCCACAGAGCCCAAAUUCCCUGCUGUUCGACUGGCUUUGCAGAAUUUUGACAUGACUUACAGUGUGCAGUUUGGAGAUCUUUGGCCAUCAAUCCGUGUCAGUCUCCUCUCAGAGCAGAAGUAUGGUGCACUGGUCAAUAACUUUGCUGCCUGGGAUCAUGUAAGUGCUAAGCUGGAGCAGCUGAGUGCCAAGGAUUUUGUGAAUGAAGCCAUCUCCCACUGGGAACUGCAGUCUGAGGGUGGCCAAUCUGCAGCCCCAUCCCCUGCCUCCUGGGCCUGCAGUCCGAACCUUCGAUGCUUCACUUUUGACAGAGGGGAUAUCAGUCGCUUCCCUCCUGCCAGACCUGGCAGCCUGGGUGUCAUGGAGUACUACCUGAUGGAUGCUGCCUCCUUGCUGCCUGUUCUGGCCCUCGGCCUGCAGCCUGGGGACAUCGUGCUUGACCUAUGUGCAGCUCCUGGGGGAAAGACACUAGCGUUGCUUCAGACUGGCUGUUGCCGCAAUCUUGCUGCCAAUGAUCUCUCCCCGUCCCGAAUAGCCAGACUACAGAAGAUCCUUCACAGCUAUGUGCCUGAAGAGAUCAGGGAUGGAAAUCAAGUUCGAGUUACCUCAUGGGAUGGCAGGAAAUGGGGAGAACUGGAGGGGGACACCUAUGACCGGGGGCUCAGGAGUCCAGCGGUCCUAAGUAUACCUUGCAGCCAUCUUCCUAAAAGUUCUGACCAUGACUGAGGACACUGAGAAGGAGUGCUGGUGGAUGUGCCCUGUACCACAGACCGCCACUCCCUUCAUGAGGAGGAGAACAACAUCUUUAAGCGGUCAAGGAAGAAGGAGCGACAGAUAUUGCCUGUGCUGCAAGUGCAGCUUCUUGCGGCUGGACUCCUUGCCACCAAACCAGGAGGCCAUGUUGUCUAUUCUACCUGCUCACUCUCACACUUACAGAACGAGUAUGUGGUGCAAGGUGCCAUUGAGCUCCUGGCCAAUCAAUACAGCAUCCAGGUACAGGUGGAAGAUCUGACUCACUUCCGAAGGGUUUUCAUGGACACAUUUUGUUUCUUCUCAUCCUGUCAGGUUGGGGAGCUGGUAAUACCAAACCUCAUGGCCAAUUUUGGCCCCAUGUACUUCUGCAAAAUGCGUAGGCUGACAUAGUAUCACCCAAUCCCUGAAGCAAGAAUACAAAGGGUAUACUCUGUUGGAUGCACCAGAAACUGGAAACUGGGACCAGUGGCAGAGAUGCACUCUCGGUCCUGUCUCCAUCCUGUUCGUGUCUUUCUGCAGUUUUCGGCAAUAAGAAGUAGAAGAUUUGCUGUCCUGCUGUCCAAUUGUGGAGCAUCAGCAGGUUUCCAACUCACUCAUUAACCCCUACCCCAUCUCCAGGCCUGUACUAAAGUUUGCUGCCCGCUUAGGGGCUUAGAAGGAGAAGCCAGUGAGCAGGCUCACACUAAGUUGUAAACAUAGGAGAAGCAUUUGGCCAAUAAAGUUGUUGAAACUCUAUAGACCUGGGGCUGCAGUUGGGGACUUCAUGUCAGUGCAAAUGCCAUUAGUUCCAUUUGUACCAGCCAGUUACUGAGCCCCUGUCACCCUUGAAGUGAGUUCCACCUGACCAGUCUUGAGCAGCCAACAGGCUCAAUUAAGCCCGCCUGGUUUUUCCAUAUGGCUCAUGAUCUAAUUUAAGGAACAAGUAACUAAAAAUGUUAAGCCAGUGCAAAAUAAUCUGCUUACCUACUCACAUUGGAAAAACCCUCUGAGCUGAAUAAUUCUGGCCAUUCCUGCUGUCAACAAUACUGCUGCCCAAAUGUGGCUUAGGAGGCUGCUUCUGCCACAAAACCGUCAUACUCUUGUGCGUGCCUUGUUCUUUGUUCAUUCAUCUAGCAGGUAUUCCCAGACCUCGUGUAUGACAGGUAGCUAGGGAGCUCUUGGAGAUGUAGCAGUUGGGAUUGUGGGAGAUUACUGGGCUUCCUCAUCCUUUAGAAUGGUAACUCUCCUUUUGCUUUCUGAACACCUAGGAAUUUCCUGAUGUUUUGUUUUGUUGGAUUCCAGACUUUUUGUUGUUUCUAGUCUGCAGCUGAGCUCUGGUGCCUGUUCUUUGGCCCACCCCCUAAUCCCUAACUCUUCCCUCAGCAUCACAGGGCUUCACUGCACACACUGUGUUCAGGGCAAGAUUUCAUCAUUUACUGACUGCAUACUCGAUAUGUUGUUUUUGUAACUUUAGCCAAAAGAAAGUAACCUUUAGUGGCAGGGAUAUAAAAAAUUGCUCAGGGUCACUUGCAGAUAUUUUAUUUUUAAACUUUUUUUUUUUUUCCUGGAAAACAUCCUGUGCAGAAAAGGGUAUAUAAUUUUAGAAUACCUGAAGGCUUCUUGGCUUUUCCACUUUCCUUAUUCCUCCUCUUCCUGCCACUCUUUUUGUCCCUUCUGUCUUUCCUGCUCAUCCUUAUUUGGGUAUUAGAGGUGUCAGUUGAGGAGGGACUUUAGCUGAGGUUAAGCCUUCUUUUGGGAUUUGCAUUGUAAUUGAGGGCCCUGGAAGAUCUCUGAGACUCAAAAUCAGGUGAAGCUAGGAAGAUGGAGCUUUAAGGAGCAUGGCUAGUGCUCUGAGUAGGACCGUAACCGCCUCCGUGCGUGGCAUAUGGUCCCUGCAUGCUGUUCACUCUGUAUAGUACUUAGUAUUCGCUGAGGCUAAGAGGCCUCAGGUGCCUGGGCUUCUGCCCUUGGACUCCUGGAUAUCCAGCCUAGUGCUAAUUGAAUGCUAAGCAGUGGUAAUUCAAAAUGAGAGGGUCCCCUGCCUCUAGAGUCAUCAUCUAAUUGGGGACAGGCAGACCUAGAUAAGAAAAGCAGAGAACUACUUUGGAAAACAGUUUAUCUGCUGUAAUUGAACAUUCAGCUACCCUAUAACCCAGUUAAUCCAAUACUGGGGAUAAAUCCUAGAGAAACUCAUACAUGUACACCAGGAGAUGUGUACAAGAAUAUUCAUAGCAACCCUAUUCACAAAAGCAAAAGCCUAGAAAUAACCCAGAUGCCCAUGAGCAAGAGAGUGGACAAGUAAACUGGAAUAUUCACAUAAUAGAACAUUAUACAAUUGUCAAAUGAACUAUAAUGAUACCUAACCAUAUGGAUGAAUCUGAGCAAUAAAAUAAUUAAGUGAAAAAAGUUUAAUCCCAGAAGAGUAAAUGUAGCAUGAUGCCCUUUCUAAAUGAAAGGUUUUUUCUUUUCUAUGGAGUUAUUCUUUACAUACAAUAUAGUUCAUAAAUUUUAAAUAUAUUGUUUAAUAAAUUUUGAUAAUUGUAUAUAAUAGUAUAGUCACCAUCAAGAUGUAGAAAAUAGAAAAUAGGCUAGGCACAGUGGCUCACGCCUGUAAUCUCAACACUUUGGGAGGCCAAGGUGGGAAGAUCACUUGAUCCCAGGAAUUCUAGAUCAGCUUGGACAAUGUAGUGAGACCUGGUCUUUACCAAAAAAAAAAAAAAAAAAAUUAGCUGGGUGCGCUGGCAUGUGCCUGUGGUCCCAGCUACUCAGGAGGCUGAGGCAGGAGGAUCACUUGAGCACAGGAGUUUGAGGCUGCAGUGAGCAGCCUGGGCAAGAGAGUGAGACUCCGUUUUGUGCCACUGCACUCCAGCCAGGGUGACAGAGUGAGACUCUGUCUCAAAAAAAAAAAAAAAAAAAAAGGCAUUGGGAUUUAUAAUGUGCUGUUUAAAGUCUGAAGCUCGGCCAGGUGCGGUGGCUCACGCCUGUAAUCCCAAAACUUUGGAAGGCUGAGGCAGGUGGAUCACCUGAGGUCAGGAGGAGUUCAAGACCAGCCUGGCCAACGUGGUGAAACCCCAUCUCUAUAAAAGUACAAAAGGGCAUGAUGGCAGGUGCCUGUAAUCUCAGCUACUCAGUAGGCUGGAGCGGGAGAACUGCUUGAACCUGGGAGGUGGAGGUUUCAGUGAGCCAAGAUAGCGCCAUUGCACUCCAGCGUGGGCGACAGCAAGAGACUUCAUUUCGAUAAAUAAGUAAAUAAAUAAAUAAAGUCUGAAGCUCCACUGGUCACUCCUUUUAUUGAUUAUUUGCAGCUGGUCUAACCAGUUACGUAUGUCUGGCUUGAUUACAUGGCCAGAGCAACAUAAAAGCCCUGCUGGGAACUUCUGAUUUGAGCUCUUCCAAAACCAGGAUGGAUGCCUCACAUAGAUCAUGAUGAUUCAAUCCAAAGGCACUUUGCAGUGCAGUCCACAUGUGCAUAAGGACCAUGGGGAGCUUGUAUUUGGGAAUUCUGAGAUUCCUGAUGUUUACCUACCUAGUCUUUCUCUUGCUGCCCUGUAUCCUUUGCCUUUAAAUAAAAAUCUUAAGUGAU